AACGAACGCUGGCGGCAGGCUUAACACAUGCAAGUCGAACGAGAUCUUCGGAUCUAGUGGCAGACGGGUGAGGAACACGUGGGAACAUCCCUUUCAGUUCGGAAUAACGUUGGGAAACUUACGCUAAUACCGGAUACGUCCUCCGGGAGAAAGAUUUAUCGCUGAAAGAUUGGCCCGCGUCUGAUUAGCUAGUUGGUGAGGUAAUGGCUCACCAAGGCUCCGAUCAGUAGCUGAUCUGAGAGGAUGAUCAGCCAAAUUGGGACUGAGACACGGCCCAAACUCCUACGGGAGGCAGCAGUGGGGAAUAUUGGACAAUGGGCGCAAGCCUGAUCCAGCCAUGCCGCGUGAGUGAUGACGGCCUUCGGGUUGUAAAGCUCUUUUGUCCGGGAAGAUAAUGACUGUACCGGAAGAAUAAGCCCCGGCAAACUUCGUGCCAGCAGCCGCCGUAAGAC
rnacentral:rRNA from 1 species